UCUGAACACUGAGGCCAAUCAGGUCAAUCAAGUCAAGACAGACAAUCUUAUUGGCUACCCAUGUCAGUUACAUUGAACAAAGUAGGAUCCUGAUAAGAACAAAAGUUCCAAGAGGUGUGUGGUGCACAACUAUCCUAACAGCUACUCAGGAGACUGAAGUAGGAGGAUCAGAAGUUUGAGGCCAGCCUCAGCAAUUUAAAGAGACCCUGACUCAGAAAAUGAAAAAGAUAGUGACAUUGCCUGUU